UACGGGGGGAGCAAGCGUUGUUCGGAUUUACUGGGCGUAAAGGGCGCGUAGGCGGCCACCGCAAGUCGACUGUGAAAUCUCCGGGCUUAACCCGGAAAGGUCAGCCGAUACUGCGGGGCUAGAGUGCAGAAGGGGCAACUGGAAUUCUUGGUGUAGCGGUGAAAUGCGUAGAUAUCAAGAGGAACACCUGAGGUGAAGACGGGUUGCUGGGCCAACACUGACGCUGAUGCGCGAAAGCCAGGGGAGCAAACGGG
rnacentral:rRNA from 1 species